AUUGAACGCUGGCGGCAGGCCUAACACAUGCAAGUCGAACGAGUGGCGGACGGGUGAGUAAUGUCUGGGAAACUGCCCGAUGGAGGGGGAUAACUACUGGAAACGGUAGCUAAUACCGCAUACCAUCGGAUGUGCCCAGAUGGGAUUAGCUAGUAGGUGGGGUAACGGCUCACCUAGGCGACGAUCCCUAGCUGGUCUGCGAGGAUGACCAGAAACCAUGGAACGGAGAAACGGUCCAGAAUCCUACGGGAGGCAGCAGUGGGGAAUAUUGCACAAUGGGCGAAAGCCUGAUGCAGCCAGGCAGCGUGUGUGAAGAAGGCCUUCGGGUUGUAAAGUACUUUCAGCGAGGAGGCGUUACUCGCAGAAGAAGCACCGGCUAACUCCGUGCCAGCAGCCGCGGUAAUAC
rnacentral:rRNA from 1 species